UACGAAGGGGGCUAGCGUUGCUCGGAAUCACUGGGCGUAAAGCGCACGUAGGCGGAUUGCUAAGUCAGGGGUGAAAUCCUGGAGCUCAACUCCAGAACUGCCUUUGAUACUGGCGACCUUGAGUCCGGGAGAGGUGAGUGGAACUGCGAGUGUAGAGGUGAAAUUCGUAGAUACUCGCAAGAACACCAGUGGCGAAGGCGGCUCACUGGCCCGAUACUGACGCUGAGGUGCGAAAGCGUGGGGAGCAAACAGG
rnacentral:rRNA from 1 species